CUCUUCUCUGCGCUCAUGCACUGCCAAGUAGUUGCGGUGCGUGAAACAAGUCCGGCAGGGGACGAACGUUUUCACAACUGAACUUUGAGAGACGCUUUUUGGAUUCUUCAAUGAGCUCGUCUAGACACUUUUAGCGGCUUGGAGUGAAGACGGGACUGGGAGAGCACUACUGGGAAAACUACCUGAGUUUUCUCUUCCAGUCGGGAUUCAAAAUGAAGUUCUGGAUUUGUGUACUCGCUGUCAGCUGGGCAGUAGAAGCGACACACGGGG